ACAUAACCUAUGUGUAACGCCUUUGUUUCUCAUUGAAUCCACUUCUUAACGUCUCUCCAUUAACUCCCUCCGUUCAACUCUGCCACUAAUUCGGCUUUAAUGACCACUUUUCUCAAUUUCCAUCUCAAAUCCCUAAUUCUUGAGAUUGUAAAUAGGGAUAAGUAAUUCACCAAAUCUCACUGCUUCAGAAGAUUAAUCAAAUUCCAUAUUUUUUUUCCCGAUUUAGUCUGGCCGUUGUCCCAAACAGUGGUGGCGCUUCUUCUGUGUUUCUGGGGAGCAUGCACUGUCAAGAAAAUAAGAGAGCUCAUGGGAUUCAACAUGCUCCUGUUUUAUGAAAAGAAGAGUACUUGUGGUUGCAAAAAAUUCCUUGGCAUUAAGACAGCAAAGUACUUUGGAUAACGCAAAUACAAAGCAAUUGUGGAUUUCGGGUCUUUUGCUUCUUUUGCUGAUUUAUGUCAUGGAGCAAGCCUUUCUUGACUCUGGAUUCCUAUUUAUCUGGUAGGUUUGGCUGCAAAGACAGCACCUGUCCAGCCAACUUGUGUCGAGAGCUCUCCACACGAAGAC